rnacentral:rRNA from 1 species
AGGCUGACUGGCACUUGGAGAGUGGCAAGUCUUCCAGUAUGGGGAGCAAAACAGCUAUGGGUCAAGUCCGAUAUCUUUAGGAGAAGUCUUAUUGUGAGGGCGAGUUAUAUAACACCAUAGGACUGGCCGUCCCAUAUGAAAAGAUUAUAUUAGAAUUGAAUGAAGCUUUGUUUAUAUAUUGAUAAUGACAGUAUAUAUAUCGUGUCUUGACUAAUUGCGUGCCAGCAGUCGCGGUAAUACGUAAGAGACUAGUGUUAUUCAUCUUAAUUAGGUUUAAAGGGUACCCAGACGGUCAAUAUAGCUUAUAAAAUGUUAGUACUUGACUAGAGUUUUAUGUAAGAGGGCAGUACUUGAGGAGGAGAGAUGAAAUUUCGUGAUACCAAAGGGACUCUGUAAAGGCGAAGGCAGCCCUCUAUGUAAAAACUGACGUUGAAGGACGAAGGCACAGAGAACAAACAGGAUUAGAUACCCAAGUAGUCUUUGCAGUAAAUGAUGAAUGCCAUAGGUUAGAUUGAUCAAUUAUAGUCUAGGGUUAGUCUAGCAAACUAAUGCCCUAUGAUAUAAUUCAAAAUAUCUGGUCUAUAAAUGAAAGUGUAAGCAUUUCACCUCAAGAGUAAUGUGGCAACGCAGGAACUGAAAUCACUAGACCGUUUCUGACACCAGUAGUGAAGUAUGUUAUUUACUUAAAAUCCCCACAAAAAA